AUUGAACGCUGGCGGCAUGCCUUACACAUGCAAGUCGAACGGCAGCGCGGGGCAACCUGGCGGCGAGUGGCGAACGGGUGAGUAAAAUAUCGGAACAUACCCUAGAGUGGGGGAUAACGUAGCGAAAGUUACGCUAAUACCGCAUACGCACUAAGGUGGAAAGUGGGGGAUCUUCGGACCUCAUGCUCAUGGAGUGGCCGAUAUCUGAUUAGCUAGUUGGUGAGGUAAAGGCUCACCAAGGCGACGAUCAGUAGCUGGUUUGAGAGAACGACCAGCCACACUGGAACUGAGACACGGUCCAGACUCCUACGGGAGGCAGCAGUGGGGAAUUUUGGACAAUGGGGGCAACCCUGAUCCAGCAGUGCCGCGUGAGUGAAGAAGGCCUU
rnacentral:rRNA from 1 species